rnacentral:rRNA from 1 species
UGGGGAAUUUUGGACAAUGGGCGAAAGCCUGAUCCAGCAAUGCCGCGUGUGUGAAGAAGGCCUUCGGGUUGUAAAGCACUUUUGUCCGGAAAGAAAUCCUUGGCUCUAAUACAGUCGGGGGAUGACGGUACCGGAAGAAUAAGCACCGGCUAACUACGUGCCAGCAGCCGCGGUAAUACGUAGGGUGCAAGCGUUAAUCGGAAUUACUGGGCGUAAAGCGUGCGCAGGCGGUUUGCUAAGACCGAUGUGAAAUCCCCGGGCUCAACCUGGGAACUGCAUUGGUGACUGGCAGGCUAGAGUAUGGCAGAGGGGGGUAGAAUUCCACGUGUAGCAGUGAAAUGCGUAGAGAUGUGGAGGAAUACCGAUGGCGAAGGCAGCCCCCUGGGCCAAUACUGACGCUCAUGCACGAAAGCGUGGGGGAGCAAAACAGGAUUAGAUACCCCUGGUAGUCCACGCCCUAAACGAUGUCAACUAGUUGUUGGGGAUUCAUUUCCUUAGUAACGUAGCUAACGCGUGAAGUUGACCGCCUGGGGAGUACGGUCGCAAGAUUAAAACUUAAAUGAAUUGACGGGGU